GUCAUGGUCUGUCGUGUUUUGGUGUGUUUCCCUGCGUUUCCCUCCUGUGUUGAUUACUGUUCCCUCCCCUAAUGUGUCUCAGCUGUUCCUCGUUGUGUUUGUUACUUAAGCCCUUGUCUUUCCUUUGUUCCUUGUGCUAUCAUUGUGGUUGGUCGUCCUGCGUGUUCCCUGGUGUCACCUGAGUUCCCUGGUUCCUUGCCUUAGCCUUUAGGCAUAAAUAAAGUGCUGUUCUCCCUAAACCGUCUGCGUCUGGGUCCUACCUGCCUGCCUGCACCCGCAACCGUAACAGAAUGAUAGCACCAACAUUGGACCCAGCGGCGAUCAAUUUAGCCGUGAGUUGGAGGAUUUAUUAUGGUUCAUUAUGAAAGCAAUGGAUUUUUGGGAGAACAUUCCCAGCAGGAAGGAGCAGGAGGCUAUCGUGGGGCGUACACGCAGGGCUGUCUCUUCAAGGCCCGAGUUGGAGGACGCCUUGCCCGAGUGGGCAGUUGAGCUGCUCAGCCCCACAGUCUUUUGGCCUGAGAGCUACAUGCUGGUGCCACCGGACUUUUGUGACCGGCCUAAACCUCCACGCUCCUACUCUCAGCCUCUGCCACCGGUUCCCCGCUACCAGCCUCUGCCCCCGGUUCCCCGCUACCAGCCUCUGUCCCCGGUCCCCAGCUACCAGCCUCUGUCCCCGGUCCCCAGCUACCAGCCUCUGUCCCCGGUCCUCCCCUACCGGCCUCUGCCCCCGGCCCCCCGCUACCAGCCUCUGCCCCCGGUCCCUAGCUACCAGCCUCCUCCCUUGCGGACAAUCAGAGUGGGGGUGGUGAAUCUGGGGUACCACCCGGUUCCUCCUGGCACUCCAGCACCCGCACUGACUCCGGUCCCCGAGCCCUGUCCGGUUCCUGAGCCCACUCCUCGCCUUCCAGAGGGGGACCGGCCUCUUCGCCGGCCUGAGGAGGUCCGCCCUCUGCUCCUGCCGGAGGUGGCCUGCCCUCCAGACCAUCCAGGGGAGGCACGCCCUCCGCUCCUGCCUGAGGGGGCCCGCCCCCUGCUCCUUCCAGAGGGGGACCGGCCUCUGCUCCUGCCGGAGGGGGCCCGCCCUCCAGACCGUCCAGGGGAGGCACGCCCUCCGCUCCUGCCUGUGGGGGCCCUCCUCCACUCCUUCCCGAGGGGGGUUCCUCUUCAAGGCCUUCCAGAGGGGUCCCGCCUUACAAACCUUUUGGAAGGGGCACGCCCUCUUCCUCCAGAGGGGACCAGCCCUCUACCUGGCCUUCCUGAGGGGUCCCACCUUCCCGAGGGUGUCCGCCCUCUACCUCGCCUACCUCCAGAGGGGACCAGCCCUCUACCUGGCCUUCCUACAGAGGGGGUCCGCCCUCUACCUGGCCUUCCUCCAGAGGGGACCCGCCCUCUACCUGGCCUUCCUGCAGAGGGGACCCGCCCUCUUCCUGGCCUUCCACCAGAGGGGACCCGCCCUCUACCUGGCCUUCCACCAGAGGGGAUCCGCCCUCUACCUCUCCUUCCUCCAGAGCGGACCCGCCCUCUACCUCUCCUUCCUCCAGAGCGGACCCGCCCUCCACCUCGCCUUCCUCCUGAGGGGACCCGCCCUCUACCUCGCCUUCGCCGGCCUCCUGAAGGUUUCCGCCUUCGCCACUGCUGGCCUUCAGAGGGGUCUCCUUGCCGCUGCAGGCCUCCUGAGGGACUGAGCCCUCAUCGUCCUUGCCGCCGGCCUCUUGAAGGGUUCCGCCUUCACUCUGCCUCUGCUUGCCCCCCAGGCCGUCCGCCUGAGGCUCCCUGCCAUGCCCUGGGGCAGUUUUCUGGCCGCCCGCCUGACGUCCCUCCGCUCUGCCCAAGUCUAUUUUUUUUUGAUUCCCCCGUCCUGGCGCCCCUCCACCCACCCGUUUUGGGUUUGACUUUCUUCGUUUUUUGCUUGUCGUGGGUCACCUGGGAGUUGACCCUUAAGGGGGGGGGUACUGUCAUGGUCUGUCGUGUUUUGGUGUGUUUCCCUGCGUUUCCCUCCUGUGUUGAUUACUGUUCCCUCCCCUAAUGUGUCUCAGCUGUUCCUCGUUGUGUUUGUUACUUAAGCCCUUGUCUUUCCUUUGUUCCUUGUGCUAUCAUUGUAGUUGUUCAUCCUGCAUGUUCCCUGUUCCCACCUGAGUUCCCUGGUUCCUUACCUUAGCCUUUAGGCAUAAAUAAAGUGCUGUUCUCCCUAAA
ensembl:lncRNA